GACGAACGCUGGCGGCGUGCCUAACACAUGCAAGUCAACUUGACUGAAGGAGCAAUCUGACAGUAGAGUGGCGCAAGGGUGCGUAACGCGUAAGUAACUUGCCCAAGGUAAGGAAUAACGUCGAGAAAUCGGCGCUAAUACCUCAUAAUGCAGCGGAUCCGCAUGGAUAUGUUGUUAAAGGUUUACCGCCUUGGGAUAGGCUUGCGUCUGAUUAGCUAGUUGGUGUGGUAACGGCACACCAAGGCUACGAUCAGUAACUGGUCUGAGAGGAUGAUCAGUCACACUGGAACUGAGACACGGUCCAGACUCCUACGGGAGGCAGCAGUGAGGAAAAUUGGGCAAUGCUCGAAAGAGUGACCCAGCAACGCCGCGUGGAGGAUGAAGGUAUUCUAUAUCGUAAACUCCUGUGAGAGCAGACGAAAGACAGAUUAUUAAUCUGGAUGACUGUAUGCUCAGAGGAAGCCCCGGC
rnacentral:rRNA from 1 species